CGACAAAGAAGAAGAAGAAUCGUUGAC
rnacentral:sRNA from 1 species